GAUGAACGCUGGCGGUAUGCUUAACACAUGCAAGUCGAACGGACUCUUCGGAGUUAGUGGCGGACGGGUGAGUAACGCGUGAGAAUCUGGCUUUGGGUUCGGGACAACCACUGGAAACGGUGGCUAAUACCGGAUGUGCCGAGAGGUAAAAGAGAAAUUGCCUGAAGAUGAGCUCGCGUCUGAUUAGCUAGUUGGUGAGGUAAAGGCUCACCAAGGCAGCGAUCAGUAGCUGGUCUGAGGGGAUGACCAGCCACACUGGGACUGAGACACGGCCCAGACUCCUGCGGGAGGCAGCAGUGGGGAAUUUUCCGCAAUGGGCGAAAGCCUGACAGAGCAAUACCGCGUGAGAGAAGAAGGCUCUUGGGUUGUAAACCUCUUUUCUUAGGGAAGAACAAAAUGACGGUACCUAAGGAAUCAGCAUCGGCUAACUCCGUG
rnacentral:rRNA from 1 species